rnacentral:rRNA from 1 species
AUACGUAGGGGGCAAGCGUUAUCCGGAUUUACUGGGUGUAAAGGGAGCGUAGACGGAAGGCCAAGUCUGAUGUGAAAGCCCGCGGCUCAACUGCGGGACUGCAUUGGAAACUGGUCAUCUGGAGUGCAGGAGGGGUAAGCGGAAUUCUUAGGGUAGCGGUGAAAUGCGUAGAUAUUAGGAGGAACACCGGUGGCGAAGGCGGCUUACUGGACUGUAACUGACGUUGAGGCUCGAAAGCGUGGGGAGCAAACAGGAUUAGAUACCCUGGUAGUCCACGCCGUAAGCGAUGAAUACUAGGUGUCGGGUUUCUAUAGAGAUUCGGUGCCGCAGCAAACGCAAUAAGUAUUCCACCUGGGGAGUACGUUCGCAAGAAUGAAACUCAAAUGAAUUGACGGGG